rnacentral:rRNA from 1 species
GAUGAACGCUGGCGGCGUGCCUAAUACAUGCAAGUCGAGCGAACAGACGAGGAGCUUGCUCCUCUGACGUUAGCGGCGGACGGGUGAGUAACACGUGGAUAACCUACCUAUAAGACUGGGAUAACUUCGGGAAACCGGAGCUAAUACCGGAUAAUAUAUUGAACCGCAUGGUUCAAUAGUGAAAGACGGUUUUGCUGUCACUUAUAGAUGGAUCCGCGCCGCAUUAGCUAGUUGGUAAGGUAACGGCUUACCAAGGCAACGAUGCGUAGCCGACCUGAGAGGGUGAUCGGCCACACUGGAACUUGGACACGGACCAGACUCCUACGGGAGGCAGCAGUAGGGAAUCUUCCGCAGUGGGCGAAAGCUUGACGGAGCAACGCCGCGUGAGUGAUGAAGGUCUUCGGAUCGUAAAACUCUGUUAUUAGGGAAGAACAAAUGUGUAAGUAACUAUGCACGUCUUGACGGUACCUAAUCAGAAAGCCACGGCUAACUACGUG